AGCAAUCUGCCUUGGAGUGGGGAAUAACGGUUGGAAACAGCCGCUAAUACCGCAUGAUACAGCUAUCCCGCAUGGGGUUGGCUGUCAAAGAUUUAUCGCUCUGAGAUGAGCUCGCGUCUGAUUAGCUUGUUGGCGGGGUAACGGCCCACCAAGGCGACGAUCAGUAGCCGGACUGAGAGGUUGGCCGGCCACAUUGGGACUGAGACACGGCCCAGACUCCUACGGGAGGCAGCAG
rnacentral:rRNA from 1 species